rnacentral:lncRNA from 1 species
AUGCACUACAUUUUGUACAUUUCAUAGGUGUAUAUAACUUAAUUUGUUUACUGUAACAAUUGCAGCAUCUACCACGUUUAGCAGGGUUUUCGUCUUCUUGGUGAGGAACUGGUUGCUUCGGAAACAUCCUGAACAGGAACUUGGUUAUAUCACGUAUUUGAGUUAAACGAAUCGAAAUAUGUUAAACUUUGAUCAACAAUGCAGUCUAACAACAGAUACAGAUCUUUUAAACAGCUAGGCCAAGGUAAUAAACAUUUUAUCGGUUCUUAAACAGUGAAACCUGAGUAACUUGGAUAACGCUGAAUUUUGAGAAUGGUAGAAAUUUUGUUAAUUAUGGGUAUAAAACCUGCUAAUUUUAAUUUAAAAAAACUAGGAAAUGUAUGAUAUUUUCUGUACCAAAAAAAAAA